AAGUGUUACAACUUUUUUAGUAUUUUCUGAGCAAAUUUUUCAGUUUUUACUGUAACUC
rnacentral:snRNA from 10 species